GACGAACGCUGGCGGCGUGCCUAACACAUGCAAGUCGUGCGAGAAAGUUCCUUCGGGAGCGAGUAAAGCGGCGCACGGGUGAGUAGCACGUAGGUAACCUGCCCCCCCAGUCUGGAACAACUAGAGGAAACUCUAGCUAAUGCCGGAUGAGACCACGAUCCCCUUCGGGGGUUGCGGCCAAAGAUGGCCUCUACUUGUAAGCUAUCGCUGAGGGAUGGGCCUGCGGGCCAUUAGCUUGUUGGUGAGGUAACGGCUCACCAAGGCUGUGAUGGCUAGCUGGUCUGAGAGGAUGACCAGCCACACUGGGACUGAGACACGGCCCAGACUCCUACGGGAGGCAGCAGUGGGGAAUAUUGCGCAAUGGGCGAAAGCCUGACGCAGCGACGCCGCGUGGGUGAUGAA
rnacentral:rRNA from 1 species